rnacentral:rRNA from 1 species
AGCAGUCGCCGCGGUAAUACGUAGGUCCCGAGCGUUGUCCGGAUUUAUUGGGCGUAAAGCGAGCGCAGGCGGUUAGAUAAGUCUGAAGUUAAAGGCUGUGGCUUAACCAUAGUACGCUUUGGAAACUGUUUAACUUGAGUGCAAGAGGGGAGAGUGGAAUUCCAUGUGUAGCGGUGAAAUGCGUAGAUAUAUGGAGGAACACCGGUGGCGAAAGCGGCUCUCUGGCUUGUAACUGACGCUGAGGCUCGAAAGCGUGGGGAGCAAACAGGAUUAGAUACCCCUGUAGUCCCUGUCUCUUAUACA